rnacentral:rRNA from 1 species
AAUAUUGGACAAUGGGGGCAACCCUGAUCCAGCCAUGCCGCGUGUGUGAAGAAGGUCUUCUGCUUGUAAAGCACUUUAAGUUGGGAGGAAGGCCUUUAGGUUAAUACCCUGAAUUUUUGACGUUACCAACAGAACCAGCACCGGCUAACUCUGUGCCGGCCGCCGCGGUAAUCCAGAGGGUGCAAGCGUUAAUCGGAAUUACUGGGGGUAAAGCGCGCGUAGGUGGUUCAGUAAGAUGGGUGUGAAAUCCCCGGGCUUAACCUGGGAACUGCUUUCAUAACUGCUGAGCUAGAGUACGGUAGAGGGUAGUGGAAUUUCCUGUGUAGCGGUGAAAUGCGUAGAUAUAGGAAGGAACACCAGUGGCGAAGGCGACUACCUGACUGAUACUGACACUGAGGUGCGAAAGCGUGGGGAGCAAAC